GACGAACGCUGGCGGCGUGCUUAACACAUGCAAGUCGAACGGUGAAGGGACCAGCUUGCUGGUUCUGGAUGAGUGGCGAACGGGUGAGUAACACGUGAGUAACCUGCCCCCUUCUUCUGGAUAACCGCAUGAAAGUGUGGCUAAUACGGGAUAUUCUGGGUCUGUCGCAUGGCGGGCCCGGGAAAGAUAUUGCUUCGGUGGGGGAUGGGCUCGCGGCCUAUCAGCUUGUUGGUGGGGUGAUGGCCUACCAAGGCGGUGACGGGUAGCCGGCCUGAGAGGGUGGACGGUCACACUGGGACUGAGACACGGCCCAGACUCCUACGGGAGGCAGCAGUGGGGAAUAUUGCACAAUGGGCGCAAGCCUUAUGCAGCGACGCCGCGUGAGGGAUGGAGGCCUUCGGGUUGUAAACCUCUUUCGCCAGUGAAGCAGGCCUGCUCCUUGUGGGUGGGUUGACGGUAGCUGGAUAAGAAGCGCCGGCUAACUACGUG
rnacentral:rRNA from 1 species